rnacentral:rRNA from 1 species
GAUGAACGCUGGCGGCGUGCUUAACACAUGCAAGUCGAACGAUGAAGCCUAGCUUGCUGGGUGGAUUAGUGGCGAACGGGUGAGUAACACGUGAGUAACCUGCCCUUAACUCUGGGAUAAGCCUGGGAAACUGGGUCUAAUACCGGAUAGGAGCGUCCACCGCAUGGUGGGUGUUGGAAAGAUUUAUCGGUUUUGGAUGGACUCGCGGCCUAUCAGCUUGUUGGUGAGGUAAUGGCUCACCAAGGCGACGACGGGUAGCCGGCCUGAGAGGGUGACCGGCCACACUGGGACUGAGACACGGCCCAGACUCCUACGGGAGGCAGCAGUGGGGAAUAUUGCACAAUGGGCGAAAGCCUGAUGCAGCGACGCCGCGUGAGGGAUGACGGCCUUCGGGUUGUAAACCUCUUUCAGUAGGGAAGAAGCGAAAGUGACGGUACCUGCAGAAGAAGCACCGGCUAACUACGUG